GACGGGUCCGCCAAACAACGAGACCACGCCUCCAGCACGGACUGCCGAUAUUGGAGCCCCCGCGCUCCGGCUGCACUUGCGCUAGGGCGCGCCGCCUCGUAGGAGACUGUGAGCCUGCAAAACCUGAACAACCUCCUCAUCCGUGGGCGCCCGGCUCUCGCCUGCAAGUCGGCUGUUACGUGUGCGGUGAUGCGAGCCAUGUAGCUUCUGGGUGUUCCAUGCGCUACAAGAAGAAAAACGACACUGCUCCAGGUGCUGUGGCAGGUCCAACCAGAAACGUCAACGUGUGUUCCAGAGCUUCAGUGUGUUACAGAUAAGUGGUUUUGGCUCCCCCUUUAUGUUCCAUUCGGGGUCAGAAUGUAGUCUUAUAAAACAAAGCCAUAGUAAUUUAUUCAAUGGUAAGCGGUUUCAUGAACAAGUCACCGUAGGCACCCUAGACACGUCCUUACGGAUCCAUCAGAUCCAAUAACUCUUGCAUUAGAUACCUUCAGCUCUAACACUAGGAGCAGGCUGAGGAACCCCAGUAAUCGUACUCGUCGAACUCGACAAAGAGGUCGACGUGCAACCUAACCCAUGCAUCAGCCCACUGAGUUUCUCGCCGGAUCUUUUCAGUGGGUCGCGAUUCCGAUCCGGUAGUAGAUUCAUUCGCGAAGCAAUUGCUCUUGAGUUGUUAGGUCUCCUGCGGAGGCGCUCGGGCAGUUGUUAGCAAAUCCCACCCCUCUUGGCUGAGCCUUUGCUCGCCCACCCGUCCUGGUGAAGCGGGAAAGGCCUCCGGGCCACCAGUAAUCUUUCAAUCAUCUGCAGUUUUGGAAAACGAUAGGUAUAAGUUGAGACAUGUAAAUGGUUCUAGUGUACAAAGUUCCCCAUGAAAACUUACGCGAAGUACCUCGAGGCCCGUCAGGCCUACUAGGAAUUUCUGAAAAUUAUAGUGACGAUGACGUGACGGCGUACACAGAUGGGUUAAGUAAUCUUGUUCAUGAAACUGAUCUUAAUGAUGACUACUCUAUCACUGACAAUAGAAGCGACAUUUUUGUCCGCAAAUAGCGAUACAGCAAACAGUCUGCGGGUAGUGAUACAAUGUCUGUAAGCUCAGGCACCUCAGGUGCAGGUGUUGGAAAUGUAGAAAACGAUGGUCGGACUCGCACUAUUUCUGAAGAAAUUCCGUAUAAAUGUUCUGGUUUAAGAGAUGUUUUAACAAACGCUACCGUACACGCAGAUUAAAAAAAAAAAAAAAAGAAAAAAAAAGAGAAUUGUAUGUGGCUAGAGAGAUGUUAAUCCGGACUAGCAAAAAAAAAAGAGAAAAAAAAAAAAGAAAGUGUGAAGUCAUUGAAGGGUCUGUCCGGUCCAAUGGCUUGGCUAUAGGGAUUUUCAUCCAGAUUAGCCACAACAAUUAGCUACAGGGAUUGCGAUUCGGUCUAGCAUUAUCCGGUCCAGUUCGAAAAACUGAAGGGAUAACAAUUCCGGUCUAAGUUAAAAGGGACAUACUUACAUACCUGAAGAGUUUUAAAUGAACUGGCCCAGGUAUGUAAGCAGUCUGAAGGUUAUUUAUAGCCAGUAUAGGAUUUUCUGAAGAAUUAUGCGAACCGAACCGUACUAGAUUGUUAAUAUCAUAGACCACGUUUUAAGUUGCAUCCGUUAAUGUCAGGAUGAACGAACACGUUUGUUGUUCACAGACAUACCAUAAGAAUGCGCGCACGAGGACGAGCGCACGUCAGUAUGGCCGUGACGGCGUUAACGAUAUUUAUGUUAUAUAGCACGUGCAAUAGGAGUGACUCACACAAGCCAGGCGCGCCGGCCGUGUCGUUCCACUCGUAAACAACAGCUGCAACAGAAGUGACUCAUAAGCCAGCUGCGCCGGCUAGUAUAAAAAGGCGGAACGUGCCUUGAAAUGAACAUUCGUUGGACUGCGCUUGCCUGGUGCACUUACUAUAUCCUUGUUACGUUGUGUGAUCCAGUGACUGUUGUACGUACUGGUUAAAGUUGGACAAGUGUUAAAGUGAAUUGUUAAGAUAACAUAUUGUUGAUUAAAUCAGGAAUCAAAAA